rnacentral:lncRNA from 1 species
AAAGACACUAAGCUAAGAUUAAAGGUAAGUAACUAGUAUCGAUCCACGGGAGCAAGGAACAAGAAAGGUCUUGAGCUGCCAAGAAGAAUGUACCUGGGUCGGGAGCAGGGGUUGGUGGAACAACUGGACAAGCCUAAGUAUCUAGCUUUGCUCACCUUGUUGAAACUAGCCCCGUUGCAAUAGAGAAAUCCUUUCCCGUUGAGAAUGACCAAGGCAUUCCACUGUCUUUGCUGGAACUGCUGUCCUCACUGAACUAACUGCCCGUUUCACUUGUCCCGUAGCUGGCUUGGAAUAAGAAAAGUCUUUUCUUCCUUCCCCGUGAGCUAGAAGGAAGAGAGAAGCUGUGGCUGGCUUUGUUCACUCGGCUGGCUGG